UCCUUUGCUGCCUGGGCCACAUUUGUUGGAAUUGCAUACAGUUAUGCUACAAUUUUAUCAUCGACUAUUGUUGUGCCAAUGUCUGCCCAUGCUCUAAAUAACCUAUUAGGAGGCAUCAUAUGGCGCUACACAUCAGAUUCGUCAAAAUAGAUUGGUAAAUUCUUUUGCACUACAGUUCUACGAAUGUCUUUUAAUUUCUAGAAGAACGUUUCUUUCUCACAAACAUUUGCUCUCCGGAUUCAGCUUGAAGUAAUAUCUAUAAAAGGAUUACGAAGGGUAUCUGCGAAUCUUGAAUAGAGACUUGAAAGUGUCUUCAGAGUCUGCAUGAAAAUUAACACCGCAUUGAUCAAAGUCCAUAUAUGGCAACGCAUGAUUGCCAAGAACUAAAAAACAUGAUUUGAAAUUUUUUAAAAUGUGGUUCUUUGCUAAACUCAAGGUUUAGGCGAAGAAUAUAAGAAUUGACAAUUUGGAUAGUGCUAGAACCUGAUGUCUCGUGAUGUUCUUAAUUUUAUCUUAUAACUUGGGCUUUUCACCAAGUUAACUCAAGGAGGGAUAUACACCACUCCCGGUAGAGACAGGAUGAUCUUGGAUAUGGAAAGGGAACAUAGUUCUAAAUAAAGAUAAUUUAUGGCUUAAAUACCUUGGGUACAGAACAACUGCUUUUACCAAGCUACUGCCUAAAAUAUUUCAUGGACAAGCUAUCAAUUUAAGCUAAGCGUAUCUUGCGAAAAAUAUAGAGCUUGUUUGGAUUGACCUUUGGCUUUUGGCAAGACAUAAGUUAGAAUAAGCCAAUUCAUAGAAGUGCUUAAAGUCAUUUUGGCUUAAAAGCACUUAAAAUAAGCCAAUCCAAACAGGUUAGUUGUACUUUGAUAGAAAUAUUUAUAACAAAUACCUUCAACCAUUAUUUAUUUCAGGGUGUUUGACCAUCUCCGGUAUACUUAUGAUUUCUUGUUUCUCUAAUCAACAGCCAUUUAGGUGAAAAAGGCAAUAUACUAUAUAUGCUCUUUCUUUUACUGCUUCUGUUUACUAGCACACUUGAUUAUCACAAAUAUCUACUUUUAUGUCCCUCUAAGUACAAAGGUAGCUGCUUUUGUAAGAGUACUGAGCCUAAAUGAGGUGUUCUAUUAAUGUUGAUUGAUCUGAAAAAUGACCGAGAGAGGGGUAAAGCGUGCAAGUACUUGAAUAUGUGUGUUGUGGUGAUGAUCUGCUUUAUUCUGGGUUAUAAUUUACUUUAUUGCAUUGAGAAAAUCCAACCCAUAUCUUGGCAUCCAUAUGCAAACAGGUGUUUUGCAGCCAUGUCAUGUAUUGCUUUCGCUUUGCAUAUUCAUACACAGCAAAAUCUGCAGCCUAAAAGUAGGCUCAAAAUGAGACAAUUGGAGAAAAAAUGAAUUUUUUUAGGGUGGUUAGCCAUCUCUGGUAACAUCCAUUGAUUUGAUCGAAAUAUCAGCAAGUAGAUGUAUUGUAUAUAUAAAGAAUGUGAUAUCUGUGUGUAUGCAAGAGGACUAAACAAAAUCGAUGAGGAUCAAAUGACACAUAGCGUGUGAUGUUUUUGAUUGGCUGGGUGAUAUUGCUUACAUUGGAGUUCCUCGGAUAAGAGAGAGACCAAUUGCUGAUUUGGUUGAUGGUCUUAAGCAGCUUGAGGCAGAGGUUCAUUGUUUCCUUGGUACGAAAUGUCCUCCUGUUCAAAUUGUCAGCAAAGGAGGUCUUCCCGAAGGAAAGGCUUGCACUAAAGCUUCCCCAUAUGAGGGACCUUUCAGGGCUGGUGCUCCAUCAUGGUGUUGGGCUCUUUUUUAACCUGAAGGGAUUCUGAGGGCUACAACUCAAUUUCUGCUAUUCUCUCUACGGUCCUUGGAGUUCAUUUUGGACAUGUCCUUAUUCAUAUGAAGGAUCACUCAUCCAGACUUUUGCAUUGGGUUGGCAUGGGCACAGCUCUUUUGGUUUUAGGAAUUAUUCUCCACUUCACAGAUGGUGUUGAAUGUAGUUAUUCCUAUAAAUAAGCAACUAUACACCUUCAACUAUGUCUGUGUAACCUCAGGAGCAGCCGCGUUAGUGUUUCCUGUUUUCUACAUUCUGGUACAGUGGUCUUGUCCAAAAAUCUGGUCACUUCUUUUUUGUUCCUUGCUACAAGUAGAACCGAUCACUUUGGUACAUUAAAUUUGGAAGCUGUAUACCUUUACAAUUAAAUCAGACUUCCCUCUAAAAUGCCAAGGCAUUCAUUAGAAACAAGAAUAGCAAGGUUCAAGUAGAUGGAAAAUGUCCCAAGCUUUCUGGCUUCGAGUCUUAUUUUUUCUUCAAUCAGUUUGGAUGGUAUAUGGAGGGAGAAUGAGAAUGUA